rnacentral:rRNA from 1 species
AUUGAAGCCUAGCGAUAUGUAAGUUAGUGGCGGACGGGUGAGUAACGCGUGGGUAACCUGCCUUGUACUGGGGGACAACAGUUGGAAACAGAUGCUAAUACCGCAUAAGCCCACAGGUCGGCAUCGACCAGAGGGAAAAGGAGCAAUCCGCUUUGAGAUGGCCUCGCGUCCGAUUAGCUAGUUGGUGAGGUAACGGCCCACCAAGGCGACGAUGCAUAGCCGACCUGAGAGGGUGAUCGGCCACAUUGGGACUGAGACACGGCCCAAACUCC